UACGAAGGGGGCGAGCGUUGUUCGGCUUUACUGGGCGUAAAGGGCGCGUAGGCGGCGGGCCAAGUCGAGUGUGAAAGCCCCGGGCUCAACCUGGGAGGUGCGCUCGAGACUGGUUUGCUGGAGUUCGGGAGAGGAGCGUGGAAUUCCCAGUGUAGAGGUGAAAUUCGUAGAUAUUGGGAAGAACACCGGUGGCGAAGGCGGCGCUCUGGACCGAGACUGACGCUGAGGCGCGAAGGCGUGGGGAGCAAACAGG
rnacentral:rRNA from 1 species